CAGCCGGCCCUGCUGUGGAGCCAAGCCCUUUCUCUUUGAUAACAAACCUGGCAUCUGAACCCUGAGUCCUUCGCGGGUCGCUGUGGUCACAGGCUGGGCUCUGCAGUGGAGCUGGAGUGAGGCCCAGGAAGGAUUCCUUUGCCUCCUUGCCCUUGCCCUUUUCCAACAUCACUACUUGGCAGCAGAAUGUGCAUGUGGAUUUAAUGGAAGGGGAAAAGGGAGACAAAGCAGAACAGGUUUGGGUACGUCCUGGCUACUUUUCCUCAGUUGGAUGGGAGGGUUGGCUGUCGGCUGCCUGUCUGGGCAGAGGGCUGGGCACAUUUCUCGUCUCUGAGGGUCACACCCCCUCCCCUUUCUCCUGCCUUUCCUUCUGGUGAACCUGAUGGGGUGGAAGUUCCUGGUGUACAGCAUUGACCUGACCUGGGAACCCAGGGGAAGGAUAGCCAGCUUUCCUCCCGGUCCAAAGCCCACACCAGGAAAGAGGACUCGGGGAUCCAGGAAACACCAGGUCCUCAAGUUCAACUCAGACAACUCAGAGCACGUUCUGAGCGGCCACAGCAUGGAAGACUGACCUUGACCGUGUUUGGGGGAGGGCCUGCCCAGCUGCACUUCUUCACAGACACAGUGAGCAGCUGGUCUACUGCUGAGCAUAUUCCCAUUUUCUGGGACAUUCCUGUAAGAGAAGGGAGGGAGCCUGCAGGGCGGGCGGUAGGUGGGAGUAGAUGCCAACUGCUAAUCAUUGUCAAUAAACAGAAGUAAGAGCAGUUUA